CGCCCGAGAAGUCGAUUUGGAGGUUGUGCCCUUGAGGCGUGGCUUCCGGAGCUAACGCGUUAAAUCGACCGCCUGGGGAGUACGGCCGCAAGGUUAAAACUCAAAUGAAUUGACGGGGGCCCGCACAAGCGGUGGAGCAUGUGGUUUAAUUCGAUGCAACGCGAAGAACCUUACCUGGUCUUGACAUCCACAGAACUUUCCAGAGAUGGAUUGGUGCCUUCGGGAACUGUGAGACAGGUGCUGCAUGGCUGUCGUCAGCUCGUGUUGUGAAAUGUUGGGUUAAGUCCCGCAACGAGCGCAACCCUUAUCCUUUGUUGCCAGCGGUCCGGCCGGGAACUCAAAGGAGACUGCCAGUGAUAAACUGGAGGAAGGUGGGGAUGACGUCAAGUCAUCAUGGCCCUUACGACCAGGGCUACACACGUGCUACAAUGGCAUAUACAAAGAGAAGCGACCUCGCGAGAGCAAGCGGACCUCAUAAAGUAUGUCGUAGUCCGGAUUGGAGUCUGCAACUCGACUCCAUGAAGUCGGAAUCGCUAGUAAUCGUAGAUCAGAAUGCUACGGUGAAUACGUUCCCGGGCCUUGUACACACCGCCCGUCACACCAUGGGAGUGGGUUGCAAAAGAAGUAGGUAGCUUAACCUUCGGGAGGGCGCUUACCACUUUGUGAUUCAUGACUGGGGUGAAGUCUAAGGGGGGCCCCCCGAAAAAAUUUUUUUUCCCGCGUGGUUUUUUUAGAAAACCCGCGCCCUUUUCCCCGAGGGGCCCCCCCCUCGCAACGGGCGUUUCUCCCAGGAAUUUCCCCUCAUUCCGCGGGUCACAGGGGGGAGGGGGACCCCCGGCUCGGGGGGGGGGGGGGCGGGGGGGGGGGGGGGAGGGGGUCCGGGGGGGGGGGCGCGGGGGGGUGUUCCAAUCCAAAGGUGGGGGGGGCGGGGGGGGGGGGGGGUUGGCGGCGCCCAAUUUUUUCGGAAAGAGGGGGGGGGCCCCGGCCGUGAUAAGAGGGGGGGGGGGGGGCAAGGGGAAGAUUAGGGGGGGGGGUUUUCUUCGGGGGGGGGGAAGGGCACACGCGGGGGGGGGGUUGUUAAACCCUCCCGCGCCCUCCCGGCGCGGGGGGGGGGGGGGGGGGGUUUUCCCCCCCGGGGGGGGGGGGUUUUUUCUCCACGAAGCGGGGGGUGGGGGGGGGGUGUCAGACGCGGGGGGAGGGCCGCCGGGGGGGGGGGGUACU
rnacentral:rRNA from 1 species